rnacentral:snoRNA from 1 species
GAGACAUGAUGAGUGAAUAAUUUUUGGUCCGUGUUUCUGAUUUAACCGUGACCGAUAACCUUUAUUCUUAAUUUACUCUCUGAUCUC